rnacentral:rRNA from 1 species
UGGGGAAUAUUGGGCAAUGGGCGCAAGCCUGACCCAGCAACGCCGCGUGAAGGAAGAAGGCUUUCGGGUUGUAAACUUCUUUUGUCAGGGACGAAGCAAGUGACGGUACCUGACGAAUAAGCCACGGCUAACUACGUGCCAGCAGCCGCGGUAAUACGUAGGUGGCAAGCGUUAUCCGGAUUUACUGGGUGUAAAGGGCGUGUAGGCGGGGAAGCAAGUCAGAUGUGAAAACCACGGGCUCAACCUGUGGCCUGCAUUUGAAACUGUUUUUCUUGAGUGCUGGAGAGGCAAUCGGAAUUCCGUGUGUAGCGGUGAAAUGCGUAGAUAUACGGAGGAACACCAGUGGCGAAGGCGGAUUGCUGGACAGUAACUGACGCUGAGGCGCGAAAGCGUGGGGAGCAAACAGG